rnacentral:rRNA from 1 species
AACGAACGCUGGCGGCAUGCCUAACACAUGCAAGUCGAACGAGACCUUCGGGUCUAGUGGCGCACGGGUGCGUAACGCGUGGGAACCUGCCCUUAGGUUCGGAAUAACUCCCCGAAAGGGGUGCUAAUACCGGAUAAUGUCUUCGGACCAAAGAUUUAUCGCCUUUGGAUGGGCCCGCGUUGGAUUAGCUAGUUGGUAGGGUAAAAGCCUACCAAGGCGACGAUCCAUAGCUGGUCUGAGAGGAUGAUCAGCCACACUGGGACUGAGACACGGCCCAGACUCCUACGGGAUGCAGCAGUGGGGAAUAUUGGACAAUGGGCGAAAGCCUGAUCCAGCAAUGCCGCGUGAGUGAUGAAGGUCUUAGGGUUGUAAAGCUCUUUUACCCGGGAUGAUAAUGACAGUACCGGGAGAAUAAGCUCCGGCUAACUCCGUG